rnacentral:lncRNA from 1 species
AAUGUAAUAUAUCGAAUUUUGAUAUAAAAAAAUAAAAAUAAAAAUAGUGUGAGAUACUAUUUUCAUUGGAUUUAGAGAAGUAAAAUAUAAGUCGGAAACGACUUGUGUUGAAAUCGGAAUGGAAACAGAAAGUCUAGAAUUUUCUGUUAGAAACGGGGCUGAUGUAUACCGAUUUUUAAUAUAAAAGUAAAUAUAAAUAAAAAUAGUGUGAGAUACUAUUUUUAUUUGACUUAGAGAAGUAAACUAUAAGUCGGAAACGACUUGUGUUGAAAUCGAAAUGAAAAUAGAAGAUUUAGAAUUUUCUGUUAGAACCGGGGCUGAUAUUUUAGCGGAACAUGCACAGUGUCAGAAAAUUAUGAAAACUUGAAAAUAUGUCGGGACUAUUUUUAUGAGACUAGAUUUAAAAUUUCAUGUCAAUCCGACACCCGGAAGGUGAAAAAUAAAAUCCGACUGCUAUCUGCUAAAGAUUAUAUUCGAUAGAGUUUUCGGUGACCAAAUAUGGUCCAAACUGAAAAGUUAAGAUAUAUUCCGUUUAUUUAGCAAAAACCGAGCCUGACUGUCAAAUUUGAGUGCAA